ACGCUCGACACCUACGGGGCAGCAGUGGGGAAUAUUGCACAAUGGGGGAAACCCUGAUGCAGCGACGCCGCGUGAGGGAAGAAGGUUUUCGGAUUGUAAACCUCUGUCCUUGGUGAAGAAAGCAGACGGUAGCCAAGGAGGAAGCCACGGCUAACUACGUGCCAGCAGCCGCGGUAAUCUGAGGCGGGCUGGCAAGGC
rnacentral:rRNA from 1 species